AACACGACGGGAGCACUGUAUGUUUACGAUAGAGCCCGAUGGAGGCACCCUUUGCUUGUAACCGCCAUCCUGGCGAUUGUGCCUACGGUCUGUCGCCCACGUUAGCUUUCACCAGAGAAAUAUGCUCGCUCGAAAUUUCAACUUUGAAAUUCAUCUUCGCAUUUCAACUGGUGAUCAAACUGGAAAAUGUUUAUUUUUUUGUUUGGCUCUCUCGUUCUCGACGUCAUCGUCCACAAAUCUGAAUUCUAAUUAACGGAACAGAAGAAGCACCUUAUACUUUUCCUGAAGUUUUUGCGAUAUCGCAGUGAAAUGGUUACGAGUAGAGUUCUUCGCGCUUGUGCUAAUAAACACUGGAGAAAGCUGCUAUCGGACAGCUUAUUUGCUCAUCAGCUUAUGCGAAGAACUUGUACUGUGUGGCAGCGCUUAUAACAGUCCAGAAAGUUUGCCAGCAACAUCCGCUCCUAAUAAAAAGAAAUGUUCUGGCCAAAUGAGACGAUAUCGUCCAUAUCCAGCCAGUACGGUGCGCGAAAGGUUCAACACGAAGAAGGGAGAGGAUCGUGUUCGUUCCAGAUUUCCACUCGCAAAACAGCCCAAGAAAAGAGGCUGAGCAGGGGAUGAUCGACUCUGGCCGUCAAAUGACUUUCCCGAUAUCAGGAAACAUGAGCCUUUGGAUACAACUGAGCACUGACGAAAUCGUCGCGGAUACAGAGAUUGCCCAAUGCCCAUGGAUCACUGGACAGCUACGGUUACAACAUUUUUGCGGCGAUUUAUGGAGUACGGAUUAAUUGACAAUAUUGUCUGGGCCUCUCAAAGCACUCAAGCUCCUGUCUGGAUACUCUCACAAGAUGUUUCUAGGUUUUAUUUUUGCAGUCAAGUGAAUUUACUGUGGUACAAUCUGCUAAUUUGUGUCUUCUGUAGUUCAAUUGUGUAAUUUUAACUAGCGCACUUUAACUUUUUAUUUUGUCAUUAACAAAAGCCGUGGUGUAACGAUAUCGCAAUAAAAUCUGUCCG